CCAGCCUCAGGACCGCUUUCCUUCCUCCGCCCAUUGCUCCCAGUCGCGUCCCUUCCCGGCCGCCGUAGAGCAAGCGACGCGGGAGUUCGGCAGUCGCGUCGCCUAGGCAACGGCUCGGCGGCGGGCUGCGGGCGCCAGGCGGCCCCGGGGAGGCGCUCGCGCCGGCGGCCGGGGCUCUACGAGGCGACAAGGCGGCAGGAAGCUGAAUGCAGUGGAGGCUGUUGUAGACCUUCAGAGGUGAUCAGAGAGAGAGGAUUACACUAGAAGGUUACUUCCAAAAGGAGACUUUCUGCACUGGCUAAUCAAGAGUGAAAAACCUGAAGAGAUGCAGGCAGGAAAACGGAAUUAAACUAGGUGGGUAGCUGUGUGGCUCACACCUCUGUGCCUCUCAUCACAUUUGCCUACACACCCUUUUCCUUUUUUCUUUUCUUUCUUUCUUUUUUUUUCUCUGCUUGAAGAAAAGAAAGCCAAUAGAAUAGAUUCUAAAUGAAGUUCGAGGGGGAAUUUUAGUCACCUAAAGAAAAGGCAGGGUGACUCUUAGCAGCAGUUAUGUAAUGUCAUGCUGCAGAGCCACAGGCCUGAUUCCCAUCCAGGCAAUUUUCAUAGCACUGGAAAGACAGCUUCCUUCCGGUGCCUUAGCAGGUUUUUCAGCCAUGUACCCAAACAGAGGGAGUCCUACAUAGCUGAUUAGCAACAUUGGGUGUGACUCCAAUUUUUUCUGCAUGUAUCAGUUAUAAAGGAGUAUU
rnacentral:lncRNA from 1 species